GUAGGGGAAGAAGGGCAAAAGUAUCUUUGUUCAACAGCAUUUAUGGACUUUAGUCUAUUUUAGUCCAUGGAACCAGUCCAUGGACUAAAGUGGGAUUAAAGUUGAAGAACCAAACAAGACCUAAUAUUCUAAAAGGUUAAUUGUGAUGAAGAUGUCGGUAUGACUUUUUAUAUGCUAUUUAUAUUUUUUUCAGGUGCAGAGCAAAGAGGGAGCCAAAUACCCCGUCCAUACGGUUUAUAAUUUUGGAGCUGGAGCUCUCUGAGAAAGGCCCAUAAUUGUGGCCAUCUACUUGAUUAAAGUAAUACUACUUCUCAAUCUAUAACCUUGUUCUUUUAAAUAAGAUUCACAUCUGCGGUGUUUAAGCAUAAGCAUCAGUGCACCACCCUCCAGCUAGAUUUCGUAGCACUUAAUCCUUGUCCGUACAUCUGUGAUCACCUUGCCAUGUGCAGCGCCACCUUUUCCCCUUUCGUAUAAUCACCUAACCAUGCAC
rnacentral:lncRNA from 1 species